rnacentral:tRNA from 1 species
AUCCGCCAUAGCUCAGUUGGUAGUAGCGCAUGACUGUUAAUCAUGAUGUCGUAGGUUCGAGUCCUACUGGCGGAUA